GACGAACGCUGGCGGCGUGCUUAACACAUGCAAGUCGAACGGAAAGGCCCUGCUUUUGUGGGGUGCUCGAGUGGCGAACGGGUGAGUAACACGUGAGUAACCUGCCCUUGACUUUGGGAUAACUUCAGGAAACUGGGGCUAAUACCGGAUAGGAGCUCCUGCUGCAUGGUGGGGGUUGGAAAGUUUCGGCGGUUGGGGAUGGACUCGCGGCUUAUCAGCUUGUUGGGGGGGUAGUGGCUUACCAAGGCUUUGACGGGUAGCCGGCCUGAGAGGGUGACCGGCCACAUUGGGACUGAGAUACGGCCCAGACUCCUACGGGAGGCAGCAGUGGGGAAUAUUGCACAAUGGGCGGAAGCCUGAUGCAGCAACGCCGCGUGCGGGAUGACGGCCUUCGGGUUGUAAACCGCUUUCGCCUAUGACGAAGCGUGAGUGACGGUAAUGGGUAAAGAAGCACCGGCUAACUACGUG
rnacentral:rRNA from 1 species